GUAUCGGUCACCGCAAGGUUUCUGGUGGCGACACCAGACAGACUUCCGCGUCUCGCUCGUCGAGCCGCAACCGGCCACGCCGGAUUUGUUAACCCGCCGGUAACGACACCGGC
rfam:Pseudomonas sp. ABAC61 scaffold317_001, whole genome shotgun sequence.